GACGAACCGUGCAAACGUUAUUCGGAAUCACUGGGCAUAAAGGGCGCGUAGGCGGCUUUCUAAGUCAGGGGUGAAAUCCGGCAGCUCAACUGUCGCAGUGCCUUUGAUACUGGAGAGCUCGAGGGAGGUAGGGGUCUGUGGAACUUCCGGUGGAGCGGUGAAAUGCGUUGAUAUCGGAAGGAACGCCGGUGGCGAAAGCGACGGACUGGAUCUCUUCUGACGCUGAGGCGCGAAAGCCAGGGGAGCGAACAGG
rnacentral:rRNA from 1 species